rnacentral:rRNA from 1 species
AUGGGCGACUCGUACUGCCAGGACUGCAAGAAGCACACGGAGGUGGCCUUCGACCACUCGGCGGGGGACACGGUCUGCACCGAGUGCGGCCUCGUCCUCGAGGCGCACUCCGUCGACGAGACCUCCGAGUGGCGCACCUUCGCCAACGAGUCCAACGACAACGACCCCGUCCGCGUCGGCGGGCCCUCCAACCCGCUCCUCACCGACGGCGGCCUCUCCACCGUCAUCGCCAAGCCCAACGGCGCCCACGGCGACUUCCUCUCCUCCUCCCUCGGCCGCUGGCAGAACCGCGGCUCCAACCCCGACCGCUCCCUCAUCCUCGCCUUCCGCACCAUCGCAAACAUGGCUGACAGGUUGGGUCUUGUGGCUACUAUUAAGGACCGAGCCAAUGAAAUCUAUAAGAAGGUGGAAGAUCUCAAGUCUAUCAGGGGAAGAAAUCAAGAUGCUAUAUUAGCUGCUUGUCUGUAUAUUGCUUGUAGACAAGAAGAUCGUCCUAGGACUGUAAAAGAAAUUUGCUCAGUUGCCAAUGGAGCAACAAAGAAAGAGAUUGGUCGAGCAAAAGAGUUCAUAGUGAAACAACUGGAAGUUGAGAUGGGCCAAUCUAUGGAGAUGGGAACCAUCCAUGCUGGAGAUUUCCUGAGGCGUUUCUGUUCAACUCUUGGGAUGAACAAUACUGCUGUUAAAGCAGCUCAGGAGGCAGUUCAGCGCUCAGAGGAGCUUGAUAUAAGGAGGAGUCCUAUUUCAAUUGCGGCUGCUGUCAUUUAUAUGAUAACCCAGCUUUCAGAGGACAAAAAGCCGCUUAAAGAUAUUUCCUUGGCCACUGGAGUGGCAGAAGGCACCAUCAGGAAUUCAUACAAGGACCUGUACCCGUACGCGGCGAGGCUCAUCCCGAACUCGUACGCCAAGGAGGAAGACCUGAAGAACCUGUGCACACCAUAG